rnacentral:lncRNA from 1 species
CAACUCCUAUGAGAUUUAUUCAACUUCCUGGUGAUUCUCCACCACUUUAUGUAUCCAAAUCAAGCUUCUCACAAAGUGAUUCAUCCUGGUUUGAUUGGAACGACGAAGAAGCUGUGCUAUUCCCAAACUGGGAAACUGGAAUCACCUGAUCUGAAAGUGGGAUAACUUCUUCAUCCCAACUACUAUGAGAUUUAUUCAACUUCCUGGUGAUUCUCCACCACUUUAUGUAUCCAAAUCAAGCUUCUCACAAAGUGAUUCAUCCUGGUUUGAUUGGAACGACGAAGAAGCUGUCAUAUUCCCAAACAAGGAAACUGGGAUCACCUUAUUUGAAAGUGGGAUAACUUCUUCAUCCUAACUCCUAUGAGAUUUAUUCAACUUCCUGGUGAUUAUCCACCACUUUAUGAAUCCAAAAGAUAACUUCUUCUUGCCAACUCCUAUGAGAUUUAUUCAACUUCCUGGUGAUUCUCCACCACUUUAUGUAUCCAAAUCAAGCUUCUCACAAAGUGAUUCAUCCUGGUUUGAUUGGAACGACGAAGAAGCUGUCAAAUUCCCAAACUGGGAAACAUGAAGCACCUGAUUUGAAAGUGUGAUAACUUCUUCAUCCCAACUCCUAUGAGAUUUAUUCAACUUCCUGGUGAUUAUCCACCACUUUAUGAAUCCAAAUAAUGCUUCUCACAAAGUGAUUCAUCCUGGUUUGAUUGGAACGACGAAGAAGCUGUGCUAUUCCCAAACUGGGAAACUGGAAUCACCUGAUUUGAAAGUGAGAUAACUUCUUCUUGCCAACUCCUAUGAGAUUUAUUCAACUUCCUGGUGAUUCUCCACCACUUUAUGUAUCCAAAUCAAGCUUCUCACAAAGUGAUUCAUCCUGGUUUGAUUGGAACGACGAAGAAGCUGUGCUAUUCCCAAACAAGGAAACUGGAAUCACCUUAUUUGAAAGUGGGAUAACUUCUUCAUCCCAACUCCUAUGAGAUUUAUUCAACUUCCUGGUGAUUCUCCACCAUUUUAUGUAUCCAAAUCAAGCUUCUUACAAAGUGAUUCAUCCUGGUUUAAUUGGAACGACGAAGAAGCUGUGCUAUUCCCAAACUGGGAAACUGGAAUCACCUGAUUUGAAAGUGGGAUAACUUCUUCAUCCCAACUCCUAUGAGAGAAGCUGUGCUAUUCCCAAACUGGGAAACUGGAAUCACCUGAUUUGAAAGUGGGAUAACUUCUUCCUCCCAACUUCUAUGAGAUUUUUUCAACUUCCUGGUGAUUCUCCACCACUUUAUGUAUCCAAAUCAAGCUUCUCACGAAGAGAUUCAUCCUGGUUUGAUUGGAACGACGAAGAAGCUGUCAAAUUCUCAAACUUGGAAACUGGAAGCACCUGAUUUGAAAGUGGGAUAACUUCUUCAUCCCAACUCCUAUGAGAUUUAUUUAACUUCCUGGUGAUUCUCCACCACUUUGUGUAUCCAAAUCAAGCUUCUCACAAAGUGAUUCAUCCUGUUUUGAUUGGAACGACGAAGAAGCUGUGCUAUUCCCAAACUGGGAAACUGGAAUCACCUGAUUUGAGAG